rnacentral:rRNA from 1 species
CAAGAUAUGGUUUCCCUGCCGCAAGGCACUAAAGACCCCCGGAAGACUACCGGGUUGAUAGGUUAGGCGUGUAAGCGUUGUAAGACGUUCAGCGGACUAAUACUAAUCGGUCGUGCGGCUUGAUCGCU